rfam:Schistosoma mansoni strain Puerto Rico chromosome 3, complete genome
GCACUGCUGAAGAGUCUUACGAUAGGACGAAACGGCCGUCCAAUGC